AACGCACGAGACCUGCGGACCUGCGGAAGGAUCAUUACCGAGGAUGGGGGUAUGUGGGGCGGCGAGGCCGGAGGGCGAGGCCGAAAGGCGAUGCCGAAAGGCGAUGCCGAAAGGCGAUGCCGAAAGGCGAUGCCGAAAGGCGAUGCCGGAGGGCGCAGCCAGCCACGUACACACUCGUGCUUGCUGGGGAGGCGUGGCUGGGAGUGGGGGAUUCUGGCGGCUCACGUGGCAGCACUGCCU
rnacentral:misc_RNA from 1 species